rnacentral:rRNA from 1 species
GAUGAACGCUGGCGGCGUGCUUAACACAUGCAAGUCGAACGGAAAGGCUCCUGCUUGCCGGGGUACUCGAGUGGCGAACGGGUGAGUAACACGUGGGUGAUCUGCCCUGCACUUCGGGAUAAGCCUGGGAAACUGGGUCUAAUACCGGAUAGGACGAUGGUUUGGAUGCCAUUGUGGAAAGUUUUUCGGUGUGGGAUGAGCUCGCGGCCUAUCAGCUUGUUGGUGGGGUAAUGGCCUACCAAGGCGUCGACGGGUAGCCGGCCUGAGAGGGUGUACGGCCACAUUGGGACUGAGAUACGGCCCAGACUCCUACGGGAGGCAGCAGUGGAGAAUAUUGCACAAUGAGCGCAAGCCUGAUGCAGCGACGCCGCGUGGGGGAUGACGGCCUUCGGGUUGUAAACUCCUUUCGCUAGGGACGAAGCGCAAGUGACGGUACCUGGAGAAGAAGCACCGGCUAACUACGUG